rnacentral:rRNA from 1 species
GAUGAACGCUGACAGAAUGCUUAACACAUGCAAGUCAACUGUGGCGGACGGGUGAGUAACGCGUAAAGUACUUGCCUCACAGCUAGGGACAACAUUUGGAAACGAAUGCUAAUACCUGAUACUGUGAGAGAGCGUUGCGUCCCAUUAGCUAGUUGGAGAGGUAACGGCUCACCAAGGCGAUGAUGGGUAGCCGGCCUGGGAGGGUGAUCGGCCACAAGGGGACUGGGACACUGCCCGUAGGCCUACGGGGAGAAUGAGGGGGGAAUAUAGCAAGAUAGACCAAAGUAUGAUGCAGCAAUUCGGGGUGCACAAUAAAGUUUUCGGAAAGAAAAGUGAUGUCAUUUGAGGAGCAGUACCAACAGAAGAAGUGACGGCUAAAUACGUGCCAGCAGCCGCGGUAAUUC